GGAGUCGACCAGACAAUCGCCCCGCACGGGGAGGAAAGUCCGGGCUCCACAGGGCAGGGUGCCAGAUAACAUCUGGGAGGCGUGAGCCUACGGAAAGUGCCGCAGAAAACAAACCGCCAAUUUGGCAAGGGUGAAAAGGUGCGGUAAGAGCGCACCGCGCUGGUAGUAAUAUCAGUGGCAGGGUAAACCCCACCCGGAGCAAGACCGAAUAGGGGGACUAGCAUGUGGCCCGCAUGGUUCCCGGGUAGGUCGCUGGAGGUGUAUGGUGACAUACAUCCAAGAUGAAUGAUUGUCCAAGACAGAACCCGGCUUACAGGUCGACUCCCAUC
rnacentral:RNase_P_RNA from 2 species